rnacentral:rRNA from 1 species
GACGAACGCUGGCGGCGUGCUUAACACAUGCAAGUCGAACGGUGAAGCGCCUUCCUUUUUGGUGGGUGUGGAUGAGUGGCGAACGGGUGAGUAACACGUGAGUAACCUGCCCCCUUCUUCUGGAUAACCGCAUGAAAGUGUGGCUAAUACGGGAUAUUCUGGGUCUGUCGCAUGAUGGGUCUGGGAAAGAUAUUGUUUCGGUGGGGGAUGGGCUCGCGGCCUAUCAGCUUGUUGGUGGGGUGAUGGCCUACCAAGGCGGUGACGGGUAGCCGGCCUGAGAGGGUGGACGGUCACACAGGGACUGAGACACGGCCCAGACUCCUACGGGAGGCAGCAGUGGGGAAUAUUGCACAAUGGGCGCAAGCCUGAUGCAGCGACGCCGCGGGAGGGAUGGAGGCCGUCGGGUUGUGAACCUCUUUCGCCAGUGAAGCAGGGCUGCCUCGUUUGUGGGUGGGUUGACGGUAGCUGGAUAAGAAGCGCCGGCUAACUACGUG